rnacentral:tRNA from 1 species
AAAAUUUUAAGUUAAAUAAACUUUUUAUUUUCAAAAUAAAAAAUAGAUUCCAAUCUAAAUUUUA